ACCAGGUCUUGACAUCCCGAUGCUAUUUCUAGAGAUAGAAAGUUACUUCGGUUACAUCGGUGACAGGUGGUGCAUGGUUGUCGUCAGCUCGUGUCGUGAGAUGUUGGUUAAGUCCCGCAACGAGCGCAACCCCUAUUGUUAGUUGCCAUCAUUCAGUUGGGCACUCUAGCGAGACUGCCGGUAAUAAACCGGAGGAAGGUGGGGAUGACGUCAAAUCAUCAUGCCCCUUAUGACCUGGGCUACACACGUGCUACAAUGGUUGGUACAACGAGUUGCGAGUCGGUGACGGCGAGCUAAUCUCUUAAAGCCAAUCUCAGUUCGGAUUGUAGGCUGCAACUCGCCUACAUGAAGUCGGAAUCGCUAGUAAUCGCGGAUCAGCACGCCGCGGUGAAUACGUUCCCGGGCCUU
rnacentral:rRNA from 1 species